UACGGGGGGGGCAAGCGUUGUUCGGAAUUACUGGGCGUAAAGGGCUCGUAGGUGGCCAACUAAGUCAGACGUGAAAUCCCUCGGCUUAACCGGGGAACUGCGUCUGAUACUGGAUGGCUUGAGUUUGGGAGAGGGACGCGGAAUUCCAGGUGUAGCGGUGAAAUGCGUAGAUAUCUGGAGGGACACCGGUGGCGAAGGCGGCGUCCUGGACCAACACUGACACUGAGGAGCGAAAGCCAGGGGAGCAAACGGG
rnacentral:rRNA from 1 species